GACGAACGCUGGCGGCGUGCUUAACACAUGCAAGUCGAACGGAAAGGCCCCUUUGGGGGUACUCGAGUGGCGAACGGGUGAGUAACACGUGAGUAACCUGCCCUUGACUUCGGGAUAACUUCAGGAAACUGGGGCUAAUACCGGAUAGGAAUCCUUGUUGCAUGGUGGGGGUUGGAAAGCUUCGGCGGUUUUGGAUGGACUCGCGGCUUAUCAGCUUGUUGGUGGGGUAGUGGCUUACCAAGGCUUUGACGGGUAGCCGGCCUGAGAGGGCGACCGGCCACAUUGGGACUGCGAUACGGCCCAGACUCCUACGGGAGGCAGUAGUGGGGAAUAUUGCACAAUGGGCGGAAGCCUGAUGCAGCAACACCGCGUGCGGGAUGACGGCCUUCGGGUUGUAAACCGCUUUCAGCAGGGGCGAAGCUUGUGGUGACGGUACCUGCAGAAGAAGCACCGGCUAACUACGUGC
rnacentral:rRNA from 1 species